AAAUUUUGUGAUCGCCAGUCAAGUCGCAAACAAAACACUUCAAAAUGAACUUCAAGAAGCUAGCCUCUUUGUUCGCAGUAGUAGCUCUUUUGGCAGUAGCCAAAGGUUACGACUAUGCCGCGGACGCGACCACAAAGGCCGGUCGCUGAAAUGUGGGUAACCACCAAGUGUCAAAAUGAAUAAAUAAAUGAAAAUGGCACUAA